ACACUCCUGCGGGAGGCAGCAGUGGGGAAUUUUGGACAAUGGGCGAAAGCCUGAUCCAGCAAUGCCGCGUGAGUGAAGAAGGCCUUCGGGUUGUAAAGCUCUUUUGUCAGGGAAGAAACGGUGAGAGCUAAUAUCUCUUGCUAAUGACGGUACCUGAAGAAUAAGCACCGGCUAACUACGUGCCAGCAGCCGCGGUAAUACGUAGGGUGCAAGCGUUAAUCGGAAUUACUGGGCGUAAAGCGUGCGCAGGCGGUUUUGUAAGUCUGAUGUGAAAUCCCCGGGCUCAACCUGGGAAUUGCAUUGGAGACUGCAAGGCUAGAAUCUGGCAGAGGGGGGUAGAAUUCCACGUGUAGCAGUGAAAUGCGUAGAUAUGUGGAGGAACACCGAUGGCGAAGGCAGCCCCCUGGGUCAAGAUUGACGCUCAUGCACGAAAGCGUGGGGAGCAAACAGGAUUAGAUACCCGUGUAGUCC
rnacentral:rRNA from 1 species